CCUUCUUUCCAGUCGGGUUCUCCAACUGAGCUAACCCUAAUUUCUUCCAUCUUUGAUCCUUCCAGACUCUAGUCCGAGCUUCGACCAUGGCCCCUGCUUCUUCGAUCAUUGCCCCUGCUUCUUCGAUCCACCUGGUUCUUCGACAAGGCCGAGCUUCGACCGGGGGCAGGGCAGUGUAUGUGUAUCGGAUUCGUCGAUUCUGGGAUUGUAUUGAAUCUAUCGAUUCUAACAACCGAUAAAGAGCCAUGGCAAGCUACUGAUGGUUGGUAUACCAGACAAGCCACUCCAGUUACCGGCCUUCCCAUUGCUAUCGGGUCGGAAGCUCAACGGGGGAAGUUUGAUGGGUGGGCUAAAGGAGACACAGGUUAUGCUGAAUUUUGCCGCAAAGCACAACAUCACUUCCAGACAUCGAAGUUAUUUCGAUGGACUAUGUGAAUAUUGCACUGGAGAGGCUUGAAAGAGCUGAUGUCAGAUUCCGAUUCGUUAUCGACAUUGGAAAUUCAUUGAAGCCUACAGCCUAAGAAUAUGUCCUGCAGUUCACAACUAGUUCUUUUGGAUGUACCAUGUUGUUUCACAUUUACAUGUCCUAUGAAUUAAUUUGCAAUGGAGGUCUCACGAGUA